GUAUCGCCUACCGGAGCCGAUCACUCCGGCGGUGGAUGCGACGGCAAUUCGAAAAGGCCAAAGAACUGAGAAGCUUGAAUCGAUUGUAGAAGAUGAUGAUGAUUGAUGAACUUGCAGAAGAUUGAUUCGAUGAAGGCGAUUUGGUGCCGAUGAUGAUUGAACGGAGUCUUUAAUGAUUGCUGAGUUGAAUUAGUGAAUAUGCGUUGAAGAAGGAGUUACGGCGAUUGACGAUAGUGAAACGUGGAGGAGCAGAUCGAGAAGAUGAUGAAGUUUUGGAGAGGUGAAUCAAUGAAGAUGAUGAAGAGAGGUUGAAGAUUGGUGAAGUUGAUG